AUGGCUGUUCAUGAAAUCUGCCUGCAAGUAUUGCUGGUGGUUGCAUUGUUACUUCCGGAUGCAUUGGCAGUUUCUGCCCCAAGUGCCCAGCAAUGUCAACAGCGGACUUCUGGUAACCGACAACAGUACCGAAAAAGGCUUUCGCCCCUGAUAAGCUCGGUGGACUUUGCAGCGCCCAUGUCGGAGUGGAUCACCGUGCCGUCAAAGUUCUCCAGCCCUUUGUUCGGCGGGAAUGUGGGAAUGUUGGGGACGCCGCUGAAUCUCCCAGUGCACAGGAUCACAAAGUCAGUGACGUAUGUCUGGAAAUCAGCUGUUGCCGACGCACCAAUCUGUUCAAGUGUUGAUGCAGACCUGUUUUCUCACUGUCAACUAUUGUCACUUUGUCAGCUCUUAACUACAAUGUUUUUACUGCUAGUGCAAGAAAAUUAUUAUUUUCACCUUGUUCUCAUGGAUCUUGAGGUUCUUUGCAGAUGUCAUGUCCUCACCCGGUCACCCCCGACCGCUGGUUCCGGUUGCGCCGACGAAGCAACCCUCGGUCAGCGCGGCGGCUAG
rnacentral:rRNA from 1 species